rnacentral:rRNA from 1 species
UACGUGAGGUGGCAAGCGUUGUCCGGAAUUAUUGGGCGUAAAGAGCUCGUAGCGGUUUGUCGCGUCUGCCGUGAAAGUCCGGGGCUCAACUCCGGAUCUGCGGUGGGUACGGGCAGACUAGAGUGAUGUAGGGGAGACUGGAAUUCCUGGUGUAGCGGUGAAAUGCGCAGAUAUCAGGAGGAACACCGAUGGCGAAGGCAGGUCUCUGGGCAUUAACUGACGCUGAGGAGCGAAAGCAUGGGGAGCGAACAGG